AGGUUUGUCGCCAAGCGGUAAAGCAACGGGUUAUGAUCCCGUCAUACCUAGGUUCGAAUCCUAGCAGACCUGCCA
rnacentral:tRNA from 1 species